ensembl:snoRNA
GCAUGGCUGAAUACUGUGUUCUUUUUAUCAGUAGUUUACACAGCCAGACACCAUGCAAAAGUAAAGCGUUCCCUUUAAAAUGCCUCUAAUGGUGUGCUAAGCUUUUUCAUAGCAUAUCAUUUUUAAAAGUGAAUACAAGU